rnacentral:rRNA from 1 species
UACGGAGGGGGCUAGCGUUGUUCGGAAUUACUGGGCGUAAAGCGCGCGUAGGCGGACCUGCAAGUCGGGGGGUGAAAGCCCGAGGCUCAACCUCGGAACUGCCUUCGAUACUGCGGGUCUCGAGUCCGGGAGAGGUGAGUGGAAUUCCUAGUGUAGAGGUGAAAUUCGUAGAUAUUAGGAAGAACACCAGUGGCGAAGGCGCUCACUGGCCCGGUACUGACGCUGAGGCGCGAAAGCGUGGGGAGCAAACAGGG